AGCGGUAGCACAGAGAGCUUGCUCUCGGGUGACGAGCGGCGGACGGGUGAGUAAUGUCUGGGAAACUGCCUGAUGGAGGGGGAUAACUACUGGAAACGGUAGCUAAUACCGCAUAACGUCGCAAGACCAAAGUGGGGGACCUUCGGGCCUCAUGCCAUCAGAUGUGCCCAGAUGGGAUUAGCUGGUAGGUGGGGUAACGGCUCACCUAGGCGACGAUCCCUAGCUGGUCUGAGAGGAUGACCAGCCACACUGGAACUGAGACACGGUCCAGACUCCUACGGGAGGCAGCAGUGGGGAAUAUUGCACAAUGGGCGCAAGCCUGAUGCAGCCAUGCCGCGUGUGUGAAGAAGGCCUUCGGGUUGUAAAGCACUUUCAGCGGGGAGGAAGGCGGUGAGGUUAAUAACCUCACCGAUUGACGUUACCCGCAGAAGAAGCACCGGCUAACUCCGUGCCAGCAGCCGCGGUAAUACGGAGGGUGCAAGCGUUAAUCGGAAUUACUGGGCGUAAAGCGCACGCAGGCGGUCUGUCAAGUCGGAUGUGAAAUCCCCGGGCUCAACCUGGGAACUGCAUUCGAAACUGGCAGGCUAGAGUCUUGUAGAGGGGGGUAGAAUUCCAGGUGUAGCGGUGAAAUGCGUAGAGAUCUGGAGGAAUACCGGUGGCGAAGGCGGCCCCCUGGACAAAGACUGACGCUCAGGUGCGAAAGCGUGGGGAGCAAACAGGAUUAGAUACCCUGGUAGUCCACGCUGUAAACGAUGUCGAUUUGGAGGUUGUGCCCUUGAGGCGUGGCUUCCGGAGCUAACGCGUUAAAUCGACCGCCUGGGGAGUACGGCCGCAAGGUUAAAACUCAAAUGAAUUGACGGGGGCCCGCACAAGCGGUGGAGCAUGUGGUUUAAUUCGAUGCAACGCGAAGAACCUUACCUGGUCUUGACAUCCACAGAACUUUCCAGAGAUGGAUUGGUGCCUUCGGGAACUGUGAGACAGGUGCUGCAUGGCUGUCGUCAGCUCGUGUUGUGAAAUGUUGGGUUAAGUCCCGCAACGAGCGCAACCCUUAUCCUUUGUUGCCAGCGGUUAGGCCGGGAACUCAAAGGAGACUGCCAGUGAUAAACUGGAGGAAGGUGGGGAUGACGUCAAGUCAUCAUGGCCCUUACGACCAGGGCUACACACGUGCUACAAUGGCAUAUACAAAGAGAAGCGACCUCGCGAGAGCAAGCGGACCUCAUAAAGUAUGUCGUAGUCCGGAUUGGAGUCUGCAACUCGACUCCAUGAAGUCGGAAUCGCUAGUAAUCGUAGAUCAGAAUGCUACGGUGAAUACGUUCCCGGGCCUUGUACACACCGCCCGUCACACCAUGGGAGUGGGUUGCAAAAGAAGUAGGUAGCUUAACCUCGG
rnacentral:rRNA from 1 species